rnacentral:rRNA from 1 species
GAGUUUGAUUCUGGCUCAGGAUGAACGCUGGCGGCGUGCCUAACACAUGCAAGUCGAACGAAGCAUAUAGAAGGAAGUUUUCGGAUGGAAUUUUAUAUGACUUAGUGGCGGACGGGUGAGUAACGCGUGGAUAAUCUGCCUUACACAGCGGGAUAACAAGUGGAAACAGUUGCUAAUACCGCAUAAGCACACAGUAUCGCAUGAUACAGGGUGAAAAGAUUUAUCGGUGUAAGAUGAGUCCGCGUCCCAUUAGCUAGUUGGUGAGGUAAAAGCUUACCAAGGCGACGAUGGGUAGCCGGCCUGAGAGGGUGAACGGCCACAUUGGGACUGAGACACGGCCCAGACUCCUACGGGAGGCAGCAGUGGGGGAUAUUGCACAAUGGGCGAAAGCCUGAUGCAGCGACGCCGCGUGAAGGAUGAAGUAUUUCGGUAUGUAAACUUCUAUCAGCAGGGAAGAAAAUGACGG